rnacentral:rRNA from 1 species
GACGAACGCUGGCGGCGUGCUUAACACAUGCAAGUCGAACGAAGUGGGAACGGGUGAGUAAUACGUGGGUAACCUCCCUCCUUUUUGGGAUAAGCCUUGGAAACGGGGUCUAAACCGAAUAGAUGGGCUCGCGGCCUAUCAGCUUGUUGGUGGGGUGAUGGCCUACCAAGGCGGUGACGGGUAGCCGGCCUGAGAGGGUGACCGGCUACAUUGGGACGGAGUUACGGCCCAGACUCCUACGGAAGGCAGCAGUAGGGAAUCUGCCGCAAGGGACGAAAGUCUGACGGAGCAACGCCGCGUGAGUGAUGACGGCCUUCGGGUUGUAAAGCUCUGUUAAUCGGGACGCGGUACCGGAAUAGAAAGCCACGGCUAACUACGUGCCAGCAGCCGCGGUAAUAC